rnacentral:tRNA from 1 species
GUCCCAGUAGCUCAGCAGGAUAGAGCAAUAGCCUUCUAAGCUAUGGGUCGCAGGUUCGAAUCCUGCCUGGGACGCUA